AUUGAACGCUGGCGGCAGGCCUAACACAUGCAAGUCGAGCGGAAGAAGGGAGCUUGCUCCUGGAUUCAGCGGCGGACGGGGGAGUAAUGCCUAUGAAUCUGCCGGGUUGGGCGGGAUAACGUCCGGAAACGGGCGCUAAUACUGCAUACGUCGUGAUGGAGAAAGUGGGGGAUCUUCGGACCUCACGCUAUCAGGUGGGCCUAGGUCGGGCUAGUUAGUUGGUUGGUUGAAGGCCUACUAAGGCGACGAUCCGUAACUGGCCGGAGAGAAUGAUUGGUCACACGGGAGCUGGGACACGGACAUGACUCCUACGGGAGGCAGCAGUGGGCAAUGUUAGACAGUAGGCGAAAGCAUGAUACAGCGAUGCGGCGUGUGUGAAGAAGGUCUUCGGAUUGUAAAGCAGUUUUAGUGGGGGGGAAGGGCAGUAGGUUAAGACCUUGCUGUUUUGACGGUACCAGCAGAAUAAGCACCGGCUAACUACGUG
rnacentral:rRNA from 1 species